AGAAUCAACGCUGGCGGCGUGCCUAACACAUGCAAGUCGCACGAGAAAGGGUAGCAAUACCUGAGUAAAGUGGCGCACGGGUGAGUAACACGUGAAUCAUCUACCUCCGAGUGGGGAAUAACCUAGAGAAAUCUGGGCUAAUACCGCAUAAUACUUACGAGUCAAAGCAGCAAUGCGCUUGGAGAGGAGUUCGCGGCAGAUUAGCUAGUUGGCGGGUAAUGGCCCACCAAGGCGAUGAUCUGUA
rnacentral:rRNA from 1 species